AACUACCUCUAAACAGGGUAACAAAUCAACGAUUCUAAGACUCUCUUCCAUUGCUGAAGUGUUGCCCUUUUGUGUGCAACUGUAUAGAUAUCCUUUUUAGUCUCUAUUGGCUUUCUUUCUUUUCAACAUGCAAUCUCCAUUCAUUGUAGACAGUAGCAGCACAUAGGAACUUGAUGAUCUCUGCUCGUGCUCUGUUGUUCCUCAUCUUUCUGCUUAUCAGAUCAAUCUCCUCCUUCCAAUUGCUAAUUCUCCUCUAACCACCUGAGUAAUGCACUCCGAAGUACGGGCACUGGAAGAACAUUUUUUGCAGGUUUUCCUCAGCUCCAGUAUUACAUAAGACACAGUCAGUUUGGACAUGUAUGCCCAUUUCUGCAAUCGAUCAACAGUAUCCAAUCGACCCACAAGUGCCAGCCAAAGAAUAAACUUAUAUUUUGGUAUAUUAGUUGGUCCCGACACUAGCCCUUUCCAUUGAACUUUCUAAAAUUGUUGAAGAAAGAGUAAGUAAGAUUUGUAAUGCUGAACUUUAAUGUCAUAUUGUAGUCCAUGUUGAGGAAUUAUUUCUUUGCAUCCAAUAUUUUCCUUACCAGCCAGCAGGCCUAUGUAGGUGUAUUUAGUUGCUGAACAUCUUUCUCUUUGCUAUAGAAUGUAUGAAUCUAUUUUAUCCAAAG
rnacentral:lncRNA from 1 species